UGAGUUAUUCUAUUAGUUAGAGUUAUCUUUUACAUUGAUAAUUUAGUUGUGCAAAUCAUCUUAACUUGA
rnacentral:tRNA from 1 species